rnacentral:rRNA from 1 species
UACGUAGGAUGCAAGCGUUGUCCGGAAUUAUUGGGCGUAAAGAGCGCGCAGGCGGUAUGACAAGUCAGAUGUGAAAGAGGCCGGCUUAACCGGCAAGGGUCAUUUGAAACUGUCAGACUAGAGUGCAGCAGAGGAUAGUGGAAUUCCCGGUGUAGUGGUGAAAUGCGCAGAUAUCAGGAGGAACACCGGUGGCGAAGGCGGGUCUCUGGGCCG